GUCAGUGUGUGGUUCCCGGAGAGGACUCAGCCUGAGGAGGUCACUCGUUCACAGCCGCUCCUCCCAUUCUAUCUCUCCCCUUAUUGCAGAACUGCUGUAUGUAUACAGUAGCAGAAAGGACUCAAUUGACUUCAACUGCUGCCUGGUUUUGCUUACAACUUUUUCUUAUAAAGGAACUUACCUCCAUCUGUCUCUUGAAGGUGGCUGGCUACUUCCUCUAAACUCCACAACUCAUUCGAAAGACUAUGGAGCCUACAUAGUUUCUAAAGACAAACGAUGAAUUUCAAAGUAAGUCCCAGGAUGGUUUUAGCUAUGGUGUGAAUUCAAUCAUUGUGUAAGAGUGUAGUACUUUGCCUGUGGGUGAUUUUCUAAGUUAUAGCGUUCAAUGAGCCUUUAUUUCAGGGUAAAAUUGUGUUCCUGGGUAGAGAUGAGAACGUGAGUCGGUGCAUGUGUGGCUUCUUGUUAUCUCCUCUGUUGCUGCCAGCUGGCUGCCUACCUGUCUCUGUGUUGGACAAAAGAAUUCUUGGGAUGGGAGAGCACUCCUGCUUUGGAAUGUGAGUAGACAUCACAAAUCACAGUUAAGGAGAGAUGAAUUAGAACUGCAUGCAGCAAGACGCCACUGGAAUGCAUUUCUUUGUAAAGGGACAAAGGGCCCCAGCUGGGCUUCUUUUGCCAAGGAUGCUGGUUGAUGAAGGACAGACUGAAGGUUUUUAUAGAGGAUGCUGGUUGAUAAAGUGAGGCGCAGGGAAGUCCUUUAUAAUAGAAAGCUUCACGUGUCUAACCCACUCUUCAUGACUGCCCAUCGCUUUCCUGGUUAAGAGUAAUAAUUCCUAGAAGCUACCACUCUCCCAGACAGUGGUCAGCUCUGCCUAUAACAACUAAAGGCCUAGGCUUUUGCACCAACCUGAAUCUAAAUGUGUAUUAUUUUAAUAACCCAAAUGGUAUUUCUGCUGUUAUCUAUGGUGCUUCUGCGUAAAUGACUACAGGAUUCAGAUUUCUCCACCACAAAGUGAGAGAAAUAACAGUAGACAUUCCAACAAGCGGUGAACAUGUGUAACCAAGCCAGUAGAUUGGGAACACUUGGAAUAUUGCGGCACAGCAAGCAUGACAUUAAUUGAUUAACUACAGUUGAUCCUCCUGCUGUAUCAUCUCUGUUUGUCCCUCAACUCCUAUAGGCGUCAAUCUUGGUGGUUUUCCGUAUUACUAUUAUCAAUAGUUAUGGAUUUCAUGAUUAAUAGAAAGCAUUUUAGUAGUGGUAUUGGUACCAGGAUGCAAUCCAGUGUCUCCCACAGGCUAAACUCUCCCUAACCAUGUGGGAAUUAUUAAAGAAAACCGAACUCCCAAAUUCCUUUCUCUUUAAAGGAGUUACAACAUGUAUUCCUGGGAAUUCAAGGAAGGAAUAUCAUUGCCUUUCCAUUGCUGGUGAAUGUGUGCUGGCGAGCCCUAAGGUGACAGGAGGGAUCAUGGGAUCUGAAACUGGGGUUCGUUCCUGCCAGCACAUGGUGCAGUGGGAGAAGCAAUUAGAAGGCUUUGCCAUCUUGGAAAGAUGCAAACAUGCAUUGGCAUAGCCUUUCAGGAGACUGAAUGAAAAGGAGACUGCAAAACAAAAGGGCUUUCAAGGGAGCGCAGGCAGUGCCUCCGAAUCACAGCAAUGAUUAUGACCACCAUUAGCGUUUAAUGAGCCUAUGGACAGCUAAUGGCUUCAUCUCUCCAGUGGGCCUGCCAAUUGCCUGUGUUUCUAUGCACAUUCCUCCUUCUCUCCUAAGGAGCAAAAGCAUGGUGCUGUUAGGCCAAACAAGUCCAAGUCAUUGCUAGAGACCCAUACUGCUUCCUCUUGGGACUGAAGGUUC
rnacentral:lncRNA from 1 species